rnacentral:rRNA from 1 species
CGGAGGGUGCAAGCGUUAUCCGGAUUCACUGGGUUUAAAGGGUGCGUAGGUGGAUAAGUAAGUCAGUGGUGAAAUCUCCGGGCUUAACCCGGAAACUGCCAUUGAUACUAUUUGUCUUGAAUACUGUGGAGGUCAGCGGAAUAUGUCAUGUAGCGGUGAAAUGCUUAGAUAUGACAUAGAACACCAAUUGCGAAGGCAGCUGGCUACACAAAUAUUGACACUGAGGCACGAAAGCGUGGGGAUCAAACAGGAUUAGAUACCCUGGUAGUCCACGCCCUAAACUAUGGAUACUCGACAUUUGCGAUAAACUGCAAGUGUCUGAGCGAAAGCAUUAAGUAUCCCACCUGGGAAGUACGAUCGCAAGAUUG